UUGACCUCAGAUCAGGUAGGGGAUACCCCGCUGAACUU
rnacentral:rRNA from 1 species